AGCAGCCGCGGUAAUUCCAGCUCCAAUAGCGUAUAUUAAAGUUGUUGCAGUUAAAAAGCUCGUAGUUGAAUUUCGGGGUUAGUAAGUUGGUCAUGCCUCCGGUAUGUACUGGCUUUACUGAUUCCUCCUUCUUGAUGAACUGUAAUGUCAUUAAUUUGGUGUUGCAGGGAAUCGGGACUGUUACUUUGAAAAAUUAGAGUGUUUAAAGCAGGCAUACGCUUGAAUACAUUAGCAUGGAAUAAUGAAAUAGGACGUUUGAUCCUAUUUUGUUGGUUUCUAGGAUUGACGUAAUGAUUAAUAGGGAUAGUUGGGGGCAUUAGUAUUCAAUUGUCAGAGGUGAAAUUCUUGGAUUUAUUGAAGACUAACUACUGCGAAAGCAUUUGCCAAGGAUGUUUUCAUUAAUCAAGAACGAAAGUUAGGGGAUCGAAGACGAUCAGAUACCGUCGUAGUCUUAACCAUAAACUAUGCCGACUAGGGAUCGGAUGAUGUUAUUUUUAAUGACUCAUUCGGCGCCUUAAC
rnacentral:rRNA from 1 species